UACGUAGGGUGCAAGCGUUGUCCGGAAUUAUUGGGCGUAAAGCGCACGUAGGCGGACUCUUAAGUCGGUGGUGAAAUCCUGGAGCUCAACUCCAGAACUGCCUUCGAUACUGAGAGUCUCGAGUCCGAGAGAGGUGAGUGGAACUGCGAGUGUAGAGGUGAAAUUCGUAGAUAUUCGCAAGAACACCAGUGGCGAAGGCGGCUCACUGGCUCGGUACUGACGCUGAGGUGCGAAAGCGUGGGGAGCAAACAGG
rnacentral:rRNA from 1 species